CUUCAAAAUAAUUGGUCAAUUCCAUUCGAUUUGAAUUUCAAGCUUUGAAUUUAUAAAGUGAAACUUAAAAGAAAUAUUGCGAAUACAAUGAAUAAUAAAUUAGAUAAAGAUUUUAAAGCCUUAAGAGCCCAGAACUGUUGCUUCAGUGGGAUGAAUGCUAUCCCAGAACAUAAAUUUUGAUGGGUCUUCACACGUUGGAGUUGAUGCAUUACAUAGAGGCCCUGCUUCAGCCAAUCCAGUUCCACAACAACCAAUGUUCGUCUGCUCAAAACCUGUUCGACGAAAUGCCCCAAACAAAUUUCAGGUCAAUUACAUUGAUUUUUUUGUUCAUAACUUGAUUUCCCUUAAUUAUUUAUACCGGCUUACCAUAUUUUUGGGGAUUAUUAAUCAUGUCCACGAGAGGAGUGUAAAUGUCAGCAUACAAAAUUGUGCUUCCUAGUAGCUGUGAUUGUAAAUUGCCCAACAGCUUUGAAAGCUUCUGAUUGUAGGCUUCGGAAUCUGUAUUUUGAUCUUCCAAACAUUUUCGAUUUAGAGGAAUUGGGAAUGAUAUGGUCUCUUGAAUUGGAAGACAACCAAUUGGAGGGAGGCCAGCGACCACUAUAGUGCGACAUCCAAGCUGGAAUGACUGUAGAUAUAGCGGCUGUUCGAUCAUCGAGUCCUGUGCCGGCGGAUGCAAAACUGACCCCUGUUUUCACAUCAUCAUCCGACAGUUCAGGAUCCAGAAAUGGAGGAACAAGCUCCUUUAUCCCCAACU